AACGAACGCUGGCGGCAUGCCUAACACAUGCAAGUCGAACGAAGCCUUCGGGCUUAGUGGCGCACGGGUGCGUAACGCGUGGGAAUCUGCCCUUGGGUUCGGAAUAACAGUUAGAAAUGACUGCUAAUACCGGAUGAUGUCUUCGGACCAAAGAUUUAUCGCCCAAGGAUGAGCCCGCGUAGGAUUAGGUAGUUGGUGGGGUAAUGGCCCACCAAGCCGACGAUCCUUAGCUGGUCUGAGAGGAUGAUCAGCCACACUGGGACUGAGACACGGCCCAGACUCCUACGGGAGGCAGCAGUGGGGAAUAUUGGACAAUGGGCGAAAGCCUGAUCCAGCAAUGCCGCGUGAGUGAUGAAGGCCUUAGGGUUGUAAAGCUCUUUUACCAGGGAUGAUAAUGACAGUACCUGGAGAAUAAGCUCCGGCUAACUCCGUGCCAGCCGCCGCGGUAACAC
rnacentral:rRNA from 1 species